rnacentral:rRNA from 1 species
AGUCACUGACAUUAGAUACCCCUGUAGUCCAGGGUGUAAACGCUGCAGACUUGGUGUUGGAAGCCCUUUGGGGGCAUUCAGUGCCGGAGAGAAGUUGUUAAGUCUGCUACUUGGGGAGUACGUCCGCAAGGAUGAAACUUAAAGGAAUUGGCGGGGGAGCACCGCAACGGGAGGAGCGUGCGGUUUAAUUGGAUUCAACACCGUAAAACUCACCAGGGAAGACUGUUACAUGAAGGCCGAGAUGAAGACUCUGCCAGAUUCUCAG